CCUACGGGAGGCAGCAGUGAGGAAUAUUGGUCAAUGGGCGCGAGCCUGAACCAGCCAAGUCGCGUGAGGGAUGACGGUCCUAUGGAUUGUAAACCUCUUUUGUCGGGGAGCAAAAGACGCCACGCGUGGCGUUCCGAGAGUACCCGAAGAAAAAGCAUCGGCUAACUCCGUGCCAGCAGCCGCGGUAAUACGGAGGAUGCGAGCGUUAUCCGGAUUUAUUGGGUUUAAAGGGUGCGUAGGCGGACGCUAAAGUCAGCGGUAAAAUUGCGGGGCUCAACCUCGUCGAGACGUUGAAACUGGGUGUCUUGAGUGGGCGAGAAGUAUGCGGAAUGCGUGGUGUAGCGGUGAAAUGCAUAGAUAUCACGCAGAACUCCGAUUGCGAAGGCAGCAUACCGGCGCUCAACUGACGCUGAUGCACGAAGGUGUGGGUAUCGAACAGGAUUAGAUACCCGAGUAGUC
rnacentral:rRNA from 1 species